CUACAAUGAUAACUGCAGGACAUUAUCAGUUAAUCCAAGACUCCCAGACCAAAGGAAAAAAAAAAGUAUAAGAGAAAUUAAAAUGUCUUCAGUAUUUUAAAAAAUAACACUAUUUUCAUUUUUUCUUUAUUUUCUACUGCUUGAUAGCAUUGCUUAAAAAAGCAACAAGGGGAAGGAAAGCAUGCUUCAAUCCAAACCAAAAAGAAACUUUUCCCCAUGAUGUGCUGUUAAAAGAGGUGAGAUAUCCAGAAAAAAAUGGAAAAAAGAAGUAGCUGACCAAUAAGCUACCUAGAAAGCAUCCAGCCUGGAUCUCAGCUAUGAACUUUGCUUGGGACACCACACAAUCUGCUGAAAUUUUGGAACUCCAGGAGAAAAACAGAACAUUUCCAACAGCAAAGGUCUCUUGAAGUUGUUGAAAGAAGACUAGAACAGUGGCUCUUCUUGCACUUUCUUUUCUUAAGGUAUUUUUCUUCCCAUCUGAUUUCCAAAGAGCAGUCAGAUUUUCAUUUCAUGUUGUCCCACCCCUGUGGCAUUUUUGACAUUGGACAGAAAAGAGAAGCCUUGAGUUGAAAAGGUGUCAUCAAAACAAUGACUAGAUAUACUUGGAAGAAAGGUUUAUUAUUUGGCUUGCUGUGCCGAGAGCUGCUAAUUGUCAAGCAAUUAUGACCAGACAUAAUUUUUUUCAGUGUUUAAAGCUGCCUCUUGGGUUUAAUAUCUGACUGAAAACAAAAGGUGGAAAAAUUUGAAGAGUUUGGAAAAGGCCAAGAGAUGUAUAAAUAUUUCCUCAGGGCAUCUUUUGCUACCUUGAAUUUAAGGCCAAAAGUUUGGCUACCACUGCCUCCUUAGAAAGCAUUCUUGGCUCCAAUGGUCUGAUACAUCUUUUCUCUCCUUGCUUCUCAAAUAAUCAAAUCAUAAAAGUAGUUUGGGAAAUCCAUUUUGCAUCUGUAUCCCCUGUGAUCUUUGAAUGCUUCAGGAGUCAAAACUCCACAUGGAUUUGUCACAGCUGAGGGCUGUGUGUUUGACUCAAAAAACCCUUUGCACACAAAUUAGAGGG
rnacentral:lncRNA from 1 species